AGGUCCAGCCUGCCCAGUGACUACAAGUUCAACGGCCGCGGUAUUUUGACCGUGCAAAGGUAGCGCAAUCACUUGUCUUUUAAAUAGAGACCUGUAUGAAUGGCUAAACGAGGGCUUAACUGUCUCCCCUUUCCAGUCAGUGAAAUUGAUCUGCCCGUGCAGAAGCGGACAUAAAAAUACAAGACGAGAAGACCCUUUGGAGCUUAAGGUACAAAACUCAACCACGUCAAGCAACUCAAUAAAAAGCAAAAACUUUGUGGAAUAUGAGAUUUUACCUUCGGUUGGGGCGACCACGGAGGAAAACAAAGCCUCCAAGUGGAUUGGGAAAACCUCCUAAAACCAAGAGAGACAUCUCUAAGCCACAGAACAUCUGACCAAACAUGAUCCGGCUGCCCGAAGCCGAUCAACGAACCAAGUUACCCUAGGGAUAACAGCGCAAUCCUCUCCCAGAGUCCAUAUCGACGAGAGGGUUUACGACCUCGAUGUUGGAUCAGGACAUCCUAAUGGUGCAGCCGCUAUUAAGGGUUCGUUUGUUCAACGAUUAAAGUCCUACGUGAUCUGAGUUCAGACCGG
rnacentral:rRNA from 1 species